UACGGAAGGCAGCAGUGGGGAAUAUUGCACAAUGGGCGCAAGCCUGAUGCAGCCAUGCCGCGUGUAUGAAGAAGGCCUUCGGGUUGUAAAGUACUUUCAGUCGUGAGGAAGGUGUUAAGGUUAAUAACCUUAGCAAUUGACGUUAGCGACAGAAGAAGCACCGGCUAACUCCGUGCCAGCAGCCGCGGUAAUACGGAGGGUGCGAGCGUUAAUCGGAAUUACUGGGCGUAAAGGGCACGCAGGCGGUUAAUUAAGUUGGAUGUGAAAUCCCCGGGCUUAACCUGGGAAUGGCAUUCAAGACUGGUUAGCUAGAGUCUUGUAGAGGGGGUAGAAUUCCAUGUGUAGCGGUGAAAUGCGUAGAGAUGUGGAGGAAUACCGGUGGCGAAGGCGGCCCCUGGGACAAGACUGACGCUCAUGUGCGAAAGCGUGGGGAGCGAAACAGGAUUAGAUA
rnacentral:rRNA from 1 species